UGCGUAGGUGGUGAGGUAAGUCGGAUGUGAAAGCUCGGAGCUCAACUCCGAAAUGGCAUUGGAAACUACCUUGCUCGAGGGUUGGAGGGGGGACUGGAAUGCUUGGUGUAGCAGUGAAAUGCGUAGAUAUCAAGCGGAACACCAGUGGCGAAGGCGAGUCCCUGGACAACUCCUGACACUGAGGCACGAAAGCUAGGGGAGCAAACA
rnacentral:rRNA from 1 species